CAUAACAUCAUUCUCAUCUAUAUCUUCAUCUUCGGAAACCUAAUGUUUCAUUCGCUCCCCUGUUCUUGAAAACUCAAAGAAAAUGAUAUGAAAUGUUUCACUUAAGUAAGUUGAAACGUGUUGUAAAGCUAGAAAGUAAAUAUGUUUCAUUUGGGCUUGAAAAAAAAUGGGCCAAAAACAAUGGGCCAUUUUUGAAGAAAAAAAAAUACAGGAGUAAACUCGCAAAAACGGUAAACUCGCCCGAUUUCACACGAGUUUACUGAGUGUUAACUCGGUCAAACUCG
rnacentral:lncRNA from 1 species